AGCAGACCAGAACGCAAUUUUUUUAAUUAGUGUUAUAGUUCUGAUAAGAAGGUAGAAAGAUGUAAAUUUGCGGAACAGGUUAGUUGUGCCAGUGGUUAUCACCGACAGGUUUCAACGAGGAUUGUUGAGUUUGAAUCCUCGAAAUCACUAAUUGAGGAGUACAUUCUUUUAAAGAUCAGUCCCAUCUUUUCAUAUUGGAACAAAUGGCGCACUGCAUGUGUGUCAGUUAUAACAAACUGAAAGUUUUCUUUUUUUUCGCAGAUCCGUAUUUUCAAAAAAGUUGCACAUCCACUAUCAGGUAGUUGCACAUCGACUGCAAGAUAGUUGCACAAAAAUGAGACAAAAUUGCACAAAAAAGUCAUCAAAACAUAUUCAUGCGAGAGCUAGUUUCGGAGAGCACGUCGCGACGAUUCCAAUAAUGAAAACAGAUUUGAAUUUCGAUGCGUUCAAAGAAUUAAGUGCGUUCACACCUAUUCUUGUAGGUGCUUUGCAAUUAUCUUUUUUUUUGUUCACACAUGUUUAGACUAUUUCACUUUUUCUACUAUGGAUUAGAGAGACAAACUAUUUCCAUUUAUAGAUUAGGGAUCAAAAUAUUUCCUUUCUUGAUCGGCCACUCCCGAGCGCUAGCGGGCCAAUGGCCACCUGACGCAUCCCAUGUUUUCUAACUAAGCUAGGCAAGCAACUUUUCACUUCUAUUUCAGUACAUCCC
rnacentral:lncRNA from 1 species